rnacentral:rRNA from 1 species
CCUACGGGAGGCAGCAGUAAGGAAUAUUGGACAAUGCUCGCAAGAGUGAUCCAGCCAUGCCGCGUGCAGGAAGACGGCCCUAUGGGUUGUAAACUGCUUUUGAACUAGAGAAAACCCUUCUACGUGUAGAAGGCUGAUAGUAUAGUUAGAAUAAGCAUCGGCUAACUUCGUGCCAGCAGCCGCGGUAAGACGAAGGAUGCAAGCGUUAUCCGGAUUCAUUGGGUUUAAAGGGAGCGUAGGUGGACUGAUAAGUCAGUGGUGAAAUCUCUCGGCUUAACCGAGAAAUUGCCAUUGAUACUGUUGGUCUUGAGUACAGUUGCUGUGGGCGGAAUAUGACAUGUAGUGGUGAAAUACAUAGAGAUGUCAUAGAACACCGAUUGCGAAGGCAGCUCACAAAGCUGUAACUGACACUGAGGCUCGAAAGUGCGGGGAUCAAACAGGAUUAGAUACCCUGGUAGUCCGCACUGUAAACGAUGAUUACUCGCUGCUGGGAGGUAACUUUCAGUGGCUUAGCGAAAGCGAUAAGAAUCACCCUGGGGAGUACGCCGGCAACGGUGAAACUCAAAGGAAAUUGACGGGCGNGAGAGNGCGAGACGACACGAGGGAGGAGG